rnacentral:misc_RNA from 1 species
GAUGAAGAACGUAGCGAAAUGCGAUACUUGGUGUGAAUUGCUGAAUCCCGUGAACCAUCAAGUUUUUGAACGCAAGUUGCGCCCGAAGCCAUUAGGCCGAGGGCACGCCUGCCUGGGUGUCACACAUUGUUGCCCCAAUGCCAAUCGCCUCACUUUGUAGGUAUUUGCUUGGGGUGAAUGUUGGCCUCCCGUGAGCUCUGUCUCACGGUUGGUUGAAAAUCGAGUGCAUGGUGUCGGGUGUACCAUGAUGGAUGGUGGUUGAGUGAUGCUCGAGGCCAAUCAUGGGUAACUCCACCAGAAUUGUGCUCGGUGACCCACAUCAAGUCAGGCGGGGCUACCCGCUGAGUUUAAGCAUAUCAAUAAGCGGAGGA